AACUGUGGCAGACAGCAGCUCAGGAGCUGGACCGCCUCCAGCAGACCUACCAGAGGACCAUCUCUGAUGGACAGGUCCAGGAUGCUCAGAGACAGCAGCUUAAGGAUCAGCUGGUUCAGUUCCAGCAGCACACACACAAACUUAAAGUGGCCAAUCUGAAACUGGAAUCGUGCAACCAGCAGUUCCUGAAGACAGUGACGGAGCAGAGCACAGAGAUGGAGGAGCUACAAAGCCAGUACAGG